rnacentral:rRNA from 1 species
GACGAACGCUGGCGGCGUGCUUAACACAUGCAAGUCGAACGGAAAGGCCCUGCUUUUGUGGGGUGCUCGAGUGGCGAACGGGUGAGUAACACGUGAGUAACCUGCCCUUGACUUUGGGAUAACUUCAGGAAACUGGGGCUAAUACCGGAUAGGAGCUCCUGCUGCAUGGUGGGGGUUGGAAAGUUUCGGCGGUUGGGGAUGGACUCGCGGCUUAUCAGCUUGUUGGUGGGGUAGUGGCUUACCAAGGCUUUGACGGGUAGCCGGCCUGAGAGGGUGACCGGCCACAUGGGGACUGGGAUACGGCCCAGACUCCUACGGGAGGAAGCAGGGGGGAAUAUUGAACAAUGGGCGGAAGCCGGAUGCAGAAACGCCGCGUGCGGGAUGACGGCCUUCGGGUUGUAAACCGCUUUCGCCUGUGACGAAGCGUGAGUGACGGUAAUGGGUAAAGAAGCACCGGCUAAUUACGU